AUGGGAGUUUUGGUGGAAGUGAGUAUCAAAGGCUUCCUCCUCCCCACCAUUGGAAACAGAAUCAAUUACAUAAGCAUUUAGGUGACACUGGACAUGCUUCACUGAAGAGGUGAAGAACCAAUGAUGGAACCUUGCUGAAUAUUGGAUUGAUGCGAGUAAACUAUGAACCAUGCUUCAAUAGAUUAUCUGUCCUAAUAUGCUACAUGAGAUGACACAGGCCUUGUCAUGCUCCUCUUGUAUCAGUACACAAUCUCAUUUGUCUUGUUACACCCCAUUCUCGACAUAGAAAAUGUUUGCCGAAGAUGAUUGCAUAAUAAUCUAUUGAAGAUGAAUUUGUAAUAAUCUGAUGGAACUUGUAGCCUUACUUCUUAUUUUUCUGGUCAAACUACUUUGAUAGGCAAGUAUUUGAUAUUAAGGAAAAAAUAAAAAUGAGAAAUGAAUUU
rnacentral:lncRNA from 1 species